AACACAGAAUUGUAUCCAGAUAGUACAGCUACACUGCAACAUAUCAUCUCUUAUCAAAAUUCGUUAUGUCUAGACAAUUGAAGAUCUAUGUCAGCAGAUUUUCGACCAUUAAUUUAAUAACACUUUAUUCCAGACGACAUUUCGAGGAGUAGCAAGAUUUGUAAAGUCACACUUACUCCUGUUAUUACUUAAGUACCCCGCCAUUACGACGUAUGAAGGAGGUGUGACUGGACCAAGACUUUGACCACGACACUAAAUGAAGGUUUAUCCAAGUAAGGGGUAAAAUUCUUAUUUCGAAGAGCGUGAGAGAAAUAGCACGCACAUCUGCAACACGCCGUCAUAGCUGCUCCCGACAAUAACAACAUACAGGCGUGUACGCUGUUGUUCUUUGCACAUAAUAGACUACAAGUUUCCUU